rnacentral:rRNA from 1 species
GAUGAACGCUGGCGGUAUGCCUAACACAUGCAAGUCGUACGAGAGUUUUUAACUCUAGUGGCGGACGGGUGAGUAACACGUGAGAAUUUGCCUUUAGGAGGGGGAUAACAAUUGGAAACGAAUGCUAAUACCCCAUAUGCUUUUGAGUGAAAUGGAUUUUAUCCGCCUAGAGAGAAGCUCGCGGCUGAUUAGCUUGUUGGUAAGGUAAGAGCUUACCAAGGCGACGAUCAGUAUCUGGUUUGAGAGGACGAUCAGACACACUGGAACUGAGACACGGUCCAGACUCCUACGGGAGGCAGCAGUGGGGAAUUUUCCGCAAUGGGCGAAAGCCUGACGGAGCAAUACCGCGUGAGGGAAGACUGCCUAUGGGUUGUAAACCUCUUUUUUCAGGGUAGGAAUAAAUGACGUGUACCUGAAGAAUAAGCAUCGGCUAACUCCGUG